GACGAACGCUGGCGGCGUGCUUAACACAUGCAAGUCGAACGGGUCUGCCCUGUUUUUUGCGGGGUGGGUCAGUGGCGAACGGGUGAGUAACACGUGAGUAACCUGCCCCUCACUUCUGGAUAACCGCUUGAAAGGGUGGCUAAUACGGGGUGUUCUGGCUGUGCCGCAUGGUGUGGCUGGGAAAGAUUCACUUUUGUGGUGUUUUGGUGGGGGAUGGGCUCGCGGCCUAUCAGCUUGUUGGUGGGGUGAUGGCCUGCCAAGGCUUUGACGGGUAGCCGGCCUGAGAGGGUGGGCGGUCACACUGGGACUGAGAUACGGCCCAGACUCCUGCGGGAGGCAGCAGUGGGGGGUAUUGCACAAUGGGCGGAAGCCUGGUGCAGCGACGUCGCGUGAGGGAUGGAGGCCUUCGGGUUGUGAACCUCUUUCGCCGGUGAAGAAGGUCCUGCUCUUUGUGGUGGGGUUGACGGUAGCCGGGUUAUGAAGCGCCGGCUAACUACGU
rnacentral:rRNA from 1 species